AGAGCUUCUUUUAAUGUCCUGUGUUGGUUGUUGGGGGGAAGGGGAACACACCUUGGGAGUGUUGAGGCAAGAGGCCUGCGGGCAUACCUAACCCGUAGUAUUUAAUCUGUCUAUGCACACUAGUGUGCAGGUGGUGGGGGUCAGGGAGGUGUGUGGGGUUUGCCUCCUCAGUGGAGGAGCCCUGAGCCUCUGUUUCCAGUGUCUACACCUGCUGUCACUUCCCAAAGUUGGUCAGACUUCAAAAACUCAGGAGCAGAGCUACUCUGAGACCAUCCUACACAAGUAUGAACUAGACUUCAUCGUGGGAGACCAGGGCUCCAAAGAUGGGGUCCUCCAGAGGGCUUUCCACAACACUUCCAGGCCUCUCUCAGAUACUCGGGGCAACUUUCAAUGGAACACGCACACACGAGUUUAGCAGAACUCCAAGAUGGAUAGACUUUUGCCAAGCAGGAGAAAGAUGUUUUCCCCCUCCGCCAGUAUUUGGUUGCUACGGUGACCUGCUCCUCAAGGCCCCAAAAUAAGGGGUGAGGAAUGCGGUGCUGUGGAAGUUAACGAUCGACGGCUCAUGAAAGAAACCCUCUAUAUUUGGAGACUCUGAGCGG
ensembl:lncRNA